rnacentral:rRNA from 1 species
UACGAAGGGUGCAAGCGUUACUCGGAAUUACUGGGCGUAAAGCGUGCGUAGGUGGUGAGUUAAGUCUGUCGUGAAAUCCCCGGGCUCAACCUGGGAACUGCAUCUGUGACUGCAUCGCUGGAGUGCGGCAGAGGGGGAUGGAAUUCCGCGUGUAGCAGUGAAAUGCGUAGAUAUGGCGGAGGAACACCGAUGGCGAGGCGGCUCUCUGGGACGGUACUGACGCUGAGACGCGAAAGCGUGGGGAGCGAACAGG